rnacentral:rRNA from 1 species
UACGGGGGGGGCAAGCGUUGUUCGGAAUUACUGGGCGUAAAGGGCUCGUAGGCGGCCAACUAAGUCAGACGUGAAAUCCCUCGGCUUAACCGGGGAACUGCAUCUGAUACUGGAUGGCUCGAGUUCGGGAGAGGGAUGCGGAAUUCCAGGUGUAGCGGUGAAAUGCGUAGAUAUCUGGAGGAACACCGGCGGCGAAGGCGGCAUUCUGGACCGAAACUGACGCUGAGGCGCGAAAGCCAGGGGAGCAAACGGG